GUUCGGAUUGCAGGCUGCAACUCGCCUGCAUGAAGCAGGAAUCGCUAGUAAUCGCCGGUCAGCCAUACGGCGGUGAAUCCGUUCCCGGGCCCUGUACCCCCCGCCCGUCACACCCUGGGAAUUGGUUUCGCCCGAAGCAUCGGACCAAUGAUCACCCAUGACUUCUGUGUACCACUAGUGCCACAAAGGCCUUUGGUGGUCUUAUUGGCGCAUACCACGGUGGGGUCUUCGACUGG
rnacentral:ncRNA from 1 species